rnacentral:rRNA from 1 species
UACGGAGGAUCCAAGCGUUAUCCGGAAUCAUUGGGUUUAAAGGGUCCGUAGGCGGAUUUAUAAGUCAGUGGUGAAAUCUUCCAGCUCAACUGGGAAACUGCCAUUGAUACUGUAGGUCUUGAAUUAUUAGGAAGUAACUAGAAUAUGUAGUGUAGCGGUGAAAUGCUUAGAUAUUACAUGGAAUACCAAUUGCGAAGGCAGGUUACUACUAAUAUAUUGACGCUGAUGGACGAAAGCGUGGGUAGCGAACAGG